UUGUAUCCAAUUGUUAUUUUGCCUCGCCCGUGUGAUCUUGCGGGAUCUGUAGACCAUAAACAAGAACCCUCGCUCUUUUUUUGCCCCGCAUCAAUAGCAGAUCAAUUUAGGAAUAUAGCUACCUCUGAAAUAUAACAGCAUCUGAGAUUCUCAACUUGGUUAAGUGGCUCAAUUUUAUUUUUGUAUCAAGAGCUCUCGGAAGGUGGAGCUCAAUCGAUCUACAAAUCAAGACAAUUUUCCCAUUUAUAUCAAUUUUAACUUCGCUGAAAAUCUUGCAACUACAAAACUUGAAGAUUUAGAAAUUGAAAAAGCACACAAAGCUCGUGGUACUAAAAAAAAGAUCAACCAAAAUUUUUACAACAUGAACAACUUAAACAUCACGAGGUAUUCACGCCAGAGUUGCAGCUUGCUGCCGAAUGUUUUGAGAGUGUCGGUGUUGCUGUUUUUCAUACUGUCUUGUAUCAACACGACUGAAGUAUCUUCUUAUCAGCUUGGAGGGGCACACACUCUUGGGAGCUUUGGGAAAAGAAGUUCAGACAAUUCACCUAGUAUGUCAGACAUCUCAUACAUGAGCCCAUUGGCUGACGGCGACUCUCAUUGGUCCGUUCCAUGGGUCGACAAUGAGGUCAUGGUUGCUGAACAGCGAUUGGCAGAUGCUUUGAACCGAUAUCUGAAGAUAAGAAGAUCAAAGACCAACAUUUCCCCCGAAAGAAAUUUGGCCAAUUAUUGAUUAAAACGGGGAAAACACAGAAGCAACCACUUUGUUAUCGAUUUAUUCAAUAAUUGUUGUUCUGGCAUCUGAAAGAAACCUUAAUAAAAGUUACUCGAGAAAAAAUUUAAAUUUU